rnacentral:lncRNA from 1 species
CGCCGGGAUUUCAAACAGUUCGGACGCUGUUCGUUGUGUCGUUGAUCGUACGCGUCGUUGAGUCAUAGUGCGGUUUUGCGGUUUUUGAGUUGAAUGGGAUUUUCUGGAUUACUUUUGCGCGGUGUUUUACUUUUUAUUCUGACUGAGUGAAGUGCCGUCGAGAUGGAUACGGUUUUGGUUUUGUAGUCCUUUUUGGACUUGAACAGGCUGCCUUGAAUUAUCUCGUAUGCUCGUGACUGAAGGAAAGUUUAGCGAAACUCGUAGACUUGUUACGAUAAAUUGCUUGGCGGUGUAGUAUUUAAAUAGAUUGCGCGUUUCGGUGCACGUUCAAAGAGUCAUACGCGUCGGCUGUUUUUUUUUUUGCUUCAUUUACCACUCGAGAAGGUGCGUAUUUUGUUCCUUUUUUGAAGACCCAAACGGACCGAAAUAAUACGGUGUUAAUAUGUCAUCGGCUUUUUUGUACCAUCGACGGCCGCAAGUGACAAUGUGCUUCGGUUUAUUUAGAGUUGGUGCCAAUCAGUGAAUUGCCUAUAGUUUGGUUGAAAAUAAAAAUAAAUGAAAAUUUUCCCACCGAAGUCAGGGCAGCAAGUGCGAAAACGUAUCGACGAUUUCGAGGAAAAUGAUCCUUCGUUCCUGAUGGUGGGCAACGGAAGAAAGUAAUUGUGAGAUUUGAGCUAACGAACGGCCGUUUUGUCGGUUUGAGAUGUGUGAGAAGGUGCAAUAAAACACAGAAGAAACAACAAAGGGGCGAAGGAAAAGUGCAAAUUGAGAUCCUGGAAAAAAUUGGAAGGUUUGGUGAAGUGUGGUGAAGCAGAUCCACAAGUGCCAAAGGUAACACGUGAAGAGUUCGAAAAUGCAGUUACAUUGAGUGGCAACACCGACAGUGUCAGAUCAGUUCACAACUUUUGGAUGCUGCUCCAGUCCUUCGUAUGCCGAUCAAUAGUAUUCGCUAUCUGUGACCCUCGGAUGUAAUAAAACGACGGCAGUUAAGAUCGUCGUUGUGUCCUGCCGUUGUUGUGCGAAUCAUUUUUUUUUUUCUUGUUGGUUGGUGGUGUGCACUUCGUAGGCAAAAUACCACAGCCGUCAUCAACAGUAUAGUACCAGCCGAGUGAGUGGAGCCAAACAGCGCAGAAAACUGGUCAUGAGUUCGAUAUGCUAAUCACUGGCUGGUGGUCGUUGUUCGACAAUGCUUGAUCUACUGGGGUUGUCGGCAUCACGUCUUUCUCGUGGACCGUGGUAGGGUACGAUACUCUAUAGGGGUUAGACGAAAACGUUGGGAUAGUUUCCUCAGCAAACGACCGAUGGGGAAGUAGAUUUGUGUUCAAAAGCGGAACCCCAGAACGUGUGCCGCCAUCAGCAACGACUUCGUCGGAUAAAAGGCAAUAGCUUUCGCAUAAAUCAUGAUAAUGUGAAAACAAAAGAAUACCAAGUUCGAAAAGUGUGUACAGAAAUCAAAGUUUAUCACUCCAGUGAGGGAAAACGGAAGAAACGGAGAGUUGUUAAGAGUAUAUCAAUGUGGACGGUGGAAGUCAGUGCUGCUAAGAUAUAACCGUUCAUAAGGGCCUAAUAGCCAGGAAGUUCGAUAAGGGAAUUUUGCAAAACGAAAAUGUGGUCAAUUAGUGGCCUUUUGAUGGCCUUUUUGGGCGCGUGCUGCCUCUUGGCGGCCUCAGCCAAUGCAAAACUGGGCCGAGAUGAUGUGGAUAUCGAAGAGAUGCUACGGGAUGACCCGUUCAGUAAUCAGCGAGACGAAGAUUUCGGAUCCGGCGAGAUACGGAUUGCACAGCCGAUGCGACAUCGGAAUGGACGGAUGCGGAUUGGACAGCUUCGGCGAGGUGGACAUCGAACGCGACACUCGAAACACGGUGAGUUUGCUUUGACUUUUAUAUUUAUUUAGGAGAAUUUUUUCCCAAUCUUUCGGAAGCUGUGAAAUUAUGACGGUCGUAAAAGUU